GACGAACGCUGGCGGCGUGCCUAAUACAUGCAAGUAGAACGCUGAAGGAGGAGCUUGCUCUUCUGGAUGAGUUGCGAACGGGUGAGUAACGCGUAGGUAACCUGCCUGGUAGCGGGGGAUAACUAUUGGAAACGAUAGCUAAUACCGCAUAACAGUAGAUGUUGCAUGACAUUUACUUAAAAGGUGCAAUUGCAUCACUACCAGAUGGACCUGCGUUGUAUUAGCUAGUUGGUGGGGUGACGGCUCACCAAGGCGACGAUACAUAGCCGACCUGAGAGGGUGAUCGGCCACACUGGGACUGAGACACGGCCCAGACUCCUACGGGAGGCAGCAGUAGGGAAUCUUCGGCAAUGGACGGAAGUCUGACCGAGCAACGCCGCGUGAGUGAAGAAGGUUUUCGGAUCGUAAAGCUCUGUUGUAAGAGAAGAACGAGUGUGAGAGUGGAAAGUUCACACUGUGACGGUAUCUUACCAGAAAGGGACGGCUAACUACGUG
rnacentral:rRNA from 1 species